rnacentral:sRNA from 1 species
GCCAGGCGCAGUGGUGCACGCCUGUAAUCCCAGCAGCUGGGGAGGCUGAGGCAGGAGGAUCACAAGUUCAAAGCCAACCUCAGCAAACGUGAGGUGCUAAGCAACUCAGUGAGACCCUGUCUCUA